UACAGAGGUCUCAAGCGUUGUUCGGAUUCAUUGGGCGUAAAGGGUGCGUAGGCGGCGCGGUAAGUCGGGUGUGAAAUCUUGGAGCUUAACUCCGAAACUGCAUUCGAUACUGCCGUGCUUGAGGACUGGAGAGGAGACUGGAAUUUACAGUGUAGCGGUGAAAUGCGUAGAUAUCGUAAGGAAGACCAGUGGCGAAGGCGGGUCUCUGGACAGUUCCUGACGCUGAGGCACGAAGGUCAGGGGAGCGAACGGG
rnacentral:rRNA from 1 species